CCGUAGUAGUAACGCAGGGGAAUACUAUGCAGGUCGAGCGGUAACAUUUCAAAAGCUUGCUUUUGAAGAUGACGAGCGGCGGACGGGUGAGUAAUGCCUGGGAAUUUGCCCAUUUGUGGGGGAUAACAGUUGGAAACGACUGCUAAUACCGCAUACGCCCUACGGGGGAAAGCAGGGGACCUUCGGGCCUUGCGCUGAUGGAUAAGCCCAGGUGGGAUUAGCUAGUAGGUGAGGUAAAGGCUCACCUAGGCGACGAUCCCUAGCUGGUCUGAGAGGAUGAUCAGCCACACUGGGACUGAGACACGGCCCAGACUCCUACGGGAGGCAGCAGUGGGGAAUAUUGCACAAUGGGGGAAACCCUGAUGCAGCCAUGCCGCGUGUGUGAAGAAGGCCUUCGGGUUGUAAAGCACUUUCAGCGAGGAGGAAAGGGUGUAAGUUAAUACCUUACAUCUGUGACGUUACUCGCAGAAGAAGCACCGGCUAACUCCGUGCCAGCAGCCGCGGUAAUACGGAGGGUGCGAGCGUUAAUCGGAAUUACUGGGCGUAAAGCGUGCGCAGGCGGUUUGUUAAGCGAGAUGUGAAAGCCCCGGGCUCAACCUGGGAACCGCAUUUCGAACUGGCAAACUAGAGUCUUGUAGAGGGGGGGUAGAAUUCCAGGUGUAGCGGUGAAAUGCGUAGAGAUCUGGAGGAAUACCGGUGGCGAAGGCGGCCCCCUGGACAAAGACUGACGCUCAGGCACGAAAGCGUGGGGAGCAAACAGGAUUAGAUACCCUGGUAGUCCACGCCGUAAACGAUGUCUACUCGGAGUUUGGUGUCUUGAACACUGCGCUCUCAAGCUAACGCAUUAAGUAGACCGCCUGGGGGAGUACGGCCGCAAGUUAAAACUCAAAUGAAUUGACGGGGGCCCGCACAAGCGGUGGAGCAUGUGGUUUAUUCUAUGCAACGCGAGACCUACUACUCUUGACAUGCGACAGAACUUUCAGAGAUGAGUCGUUGCUUCGGUACUGUGAGACAGAUGCCUGCAUGCUGUCGUCACUCCUGCUCUGCAAAUGUUAGGAUAAGUCCGCACCGAGCGCGACUCUAUCCUACUUGCCAGCGGUAUGGCUGGAACUAAGGAUGACUGCACUGCACAAUUCGACGCAUGAUGGAGAGCCGUACUACAUAGCUACGUGAUACGCUUCAACACAUUGCUAGAUGUGCUGAGUUACUGA
rnacentral:rRNA from 1 species